rnacentral:tRNA from 1 species
GGUUCGUUAGCUCAGGUGGUUAGAGCACCGCACUAAGCAGCAGCCUUGCGGAGGUCGUAGGUUCGAAUCCUACAUGAGCCA